CCUUCUCUUCUUUGGCUUUGGCGAGAUCAGCUAUGGCGUCGUCCCUUGCCUUUUCCACCUGCCCAAGGAGGGUCUCUCGGUCGGCUGACCUUUUCUCUAGUUUUUGCACCUUGACGGCGUCGGCCUUCAUGAGAGCCUCUAGGUCAGCCACCUUGACGCGGUAAGGCACAAUCUUGCUCUCUAGUUCGAUCUUUUCUUGAGCAAGCUGUUGCACUUUGUGGCGGAGAUCAGUGGCCUCUUUGCG
rnacentral:lncRNA from 1 species